UGAGAUCGACUUGAGAAGUGAUAUUUGAAGUUCAAAUCAUUUCUUUUCCUUUCAUUCUCUCUCUUCCUCAUUUGAGUCCAAAUAAGACUUCUUCGACACCAACCUUUCCCUUCUUCCAUCAAACCCUAAAACCCAAUUUUUCAUCUUCAAUCCUUCCCAAGAACCCCGGCUAGUUCCCAAUCACUCCAUUUCAACCUCAAACUGCGCCUUUUCUUCCCUGAGCACGCAAGCUCCGCGACGGCCACGACUAUCGUGAAGCCAUCAAACAAUCAAGUCCCUCAUUCUCUCAUAUAUCUUUCUCUUGUCAUCUCUCUCUCUCGUAGUUCUGAAACCCCAAAAUUCUCCAGAAAUUUCAUGAAUCACAUUGAAAUCUUAAACCACCCAAACACCCAAAACACUUUCUACCCUUAAAACCUUCGCUGCUUCCUCCUCCUCCCCUGCACUUGUCUGCCUCUCUCUUCAUCAAAAAACCCUAAAAAGGAAGACGAUGCCUUUCCUGUUCAGAAUUUUCUCCAUCUGUGCCAUAUCCGGUGCAAACAAAUUGGGGCUCGCUCUUCAUUUUGAUUGAAAUCGAUAUUGGAUUCGAAGAUAUAUAUGUGGAAUGCACCACUGGGUUUCAGACCCACAUGGGUUCAAAUUGGGGCUCGCUCAUUCCUCUCCGGCCAAGCCUCUCGGAGUUUCGAGGGCUCGAUCUGAGUCGUUCCAUGGGACUCACAAGGUCCCUAUGGGUGAUACCCCCUACGUCAGAGCCAAGAAUGUUUAGAUGAGUAGUGGCUGUGUCUGGGGAGUAGUCAACCACCUCAAAGUUGUUAAGGACUUGUCAGAGCUUCAUUGAAAAAGUGCAAAUUUUUGAUUGAGUUUUUGAAUCUGGAAAUCUUCACUCUCUAGAUGACGUCGUCAAGCUCGUGGCAAGCUUGAAAGACUGUCUGAAGCAGCUUCUUAUAUUGAAAGUGUUGUUCAUGUUGGCCUUCUUUCUCCGCUUUUCACGAUGAGCUUGUGAAAAUAUGGGCCUGAUGUGAUGGAUGCAUUGAUUGAGUUGAUUAUUUCCUUGCAUUUAUCACAGGAGGAAGUUGCUGGCAUACAAGAGGGAUUAAGAUCAUGGAUACUUGCAAUAAGGGCAAGAUUAACAUUGAUAAGCUAAGAAUUGGGUUAAAUAAACUUGAUGAUAGAUUCUUGAUAAUGAUCUACAUAUCCUAAUGUUAGCUAUAAGUACUAUCCUGUAUUUUAAAUUCUUUGCAUGUUUUAGCUCUAUUCAGUCACUGUAGUUGUCUUUCUUUGGCUUGAUGGGUUUGGACUAGGGUGUCCAUAGUAGUUAUAGUAUGAUCUUGAAAUGACACUAUGAAUUGUGUAGAAGUAUAUAGAAAUUGGCAUUUAAUGACUAACCAAAUUUCUUAACCCUUUUCAUUUAGAAACAAACCACAUUUAAUGACUAACUUCUCCGGCUAAUCUCAGGCCUAAUUACGGGGUCUGCUUUCUGAUCUACUUCUACCUUAAAUCUUAAUAACAUAGUAUUUGAUUAUUAAGAUGCAACCAUUAGCAGACUACAUAACAGCUUUUGUAAGCCCAGUAUCUGAAAUUUCUAGUUGAACUUGGUUCUCAAUUUUGUUGUGUUCUUCUUUCUUUCUUUUUGUAGUUUGGAUCUCUUUUAUCCAUUUAUGGUAGUUUCUGGUAUAGCAAAACAAGAAGAAUGGGUUUCGGUGUUCAUUAAGUGGGUUCAGAUGCAGAGAAUGGUACAUACAUUCUCCUUGAACAUGAGAAAAGUGGCUUAAAUAACCAAUAGGAAAAAUAUGUCCUCCCAGUAGCAGUUAAAUGCAGUUGCGUCUUUCAAGCUAUAUUCCAGGUUUUGGUUUUUUUUUUUUCUCUCCCUCCCAAUAAUUAGUAAAUGCAUUAGCUCUGAUGCUAAUAAGUUCAUUGUAGCUCUCUUCUUGCAAAAUUGUCUUAGUUAUGAACCGGAAAAGCUAUUGAGCAUUUUACCAUAUUAUCACUUUUGUUGGAGGCGGACAGCCUAAUUUUGUUGACACGAUUCAUAUGAUGGAAAAUUGAAUUCACAAAGGAUGCAACAAAAUUGAAUCGUUCCUUAUGCCCUGAAAGAUAACUCAAGUGCAUUGGCCAAAAAUAGUAAUAAUAAUAAUAAUAAUUUAAGUGCAUAACAUAUGUAAAAUGUCCAAAUCAUGGUCUGAUUUCUCCUAUUGGCCCUCUGUUUUGUCUUCUUCAGUUGUUAUAUACUUAUAAGUGCCACUAUUGAUUGUGAAUUAAAAAUUUCAUUGUUUCAGGUGGCUUUCUUGAAGCCAAAGGCUGAUGAAGGCUAAGUGUCAUAUUCCAUUGAGAAUAUGAAAGCUUUUUAUUCAUGUAUAACUAGCUAGGAAUGCUCUUGUUUGGUACAUUAUCUAGUUACUUGAAUGUAUAGAUGUUUGAAUAACGGUACUUGAAUUAUAUCAAUUAGAGUAUUAUUUAUAUGGUAA